GUUGUAGUAGGCGUCUUGCGGGGGCACGGGAUGUACGGGACAGGCCUCUCCCUAAACAUAGAGAGAUAGUGCUAUCGUGCUGACCUUGUUGCAGAGAAAACAGGAGAAGAAGAAGGAUGAUAAAAGAAUGUGGAAACGGCCAAAUAAGGCACAAUGUUAUCUGGUGUGAACUAAUCAGAGUGGGACAUGACAGCACGGUUAUCUAGGUAAAAAUGUAUAUAAGCUGUGUUUAGUAGUGAAUAAACGCCAUUUGCCUCACUUACUCCUGGGGUCUGGGUGAGCAUCUGGCCCCGACCUGGUAAAGGGUCGGUUUCGCCCAGCAGUAAGCCCUACAUGUGGACAGAGGACGAACACCGGACGAGCGAACGGAGACUACAUGCAACAAGUGGUGACCCCGACGUGAUCUGUCUGCUGAGGGUGGCUGCCCGGCGUGCUCGUGACGCGGAGAAGAGCCUGUGAGGUGGCGGCAGGUCGCGCACGGAAGACGUACUGCGGUUAAGAGCCUGCGAGGUGGCGGCAGGUCGCAUACGUAACAAUGGACCAAGUCAUUAAGGUACUUGUGCAGUUUUGUAAGGACUACUGUGGAAAAUCUGCUCCUUCCCGGAAGGAGAUCGCGGCAGUUUUGUCGCUGUUAAAUGAGCUGGGGGAGCUGGACUCUCCCCGCUACGUUUUGGAUUCGAGUAGGUGGGACUUGCUCACCUCGGUGCUAUGCCAGCGCGCCAUGGCCAGUCAGAAGGCUACGGAACUUAAAACGUGGGGACUGAUAUUAGGAGCCCUUAAAGCGGCCAGAGUUGAGGGAAAGGUAUUGGUGGAGGCUCGAUACCUUUUGGGUCUCAGCGGAGGAGCAGUUUCUUGCAGGGGCCGAGAGGAGACGGAGCCGCCAAUGACCGUUGGCGGGAUGGCGCCGGCUGAGCCGACCGCGCUCAGUUCAAAAGAAGACAAACAACAAGAGAGUGAAAGUUCGUUGUCUCGUCCCCCUCCCCCGUAUCCACACCCCUCAGACGGAACGUUGUAUCCUUUAUCAGAAUUACGUCAGUGUUACCUGACUCAAGGGGGCGGAGGAAGCUGUGAUCUACACGGGCAGGAUCAACUUAGUGCCCACAUGGGGAGGGACC
ensembl:lncRNA